rnacentral:tRNA from 1 species
GGAGAAUUACUCAAGAGGCUGAAGAGGACGGUUUGCUAAAUCGUUAGGUCGGGUAACCGGCGCGGGGGUUCGAAUCCCCCAUUCUCCGUCA